rnacentral:rRNA from 1 species
GACGAACGCUGGCGGCGUGCUUAACACAUGCAAGUCGAACGGAAAGGCCCUGCUUUUGUGGGGUGCUCGAGUGGCGAACGGGUGAGUAACACGUGAGUAACCUGCCCUUGACUUUGGGAUAACUUCAGGAAACUGGGGCUAAUACCGGAUAGGAGCUCCUGCUGCAUGGUGGGGGUUGGAAAGUUUCGGCGGUUGGGGAUGGACUCGCGGCUUAUCAGCUUGUUGGUGGGGUAGUGGCUUACCAAGGCUUUGACGGGUAGCCGACCUGAGAGGGUGACCGGCCACAUUGGGACUGAGAUACGGCCCAGACUCCUACGGGACGCAGCAGUGGGGAAUAUUGCACAAUGGGCGGAAGCCUGAUGCAGCAACGCCGCGUGCGGGAUGACGGCCUUCGGGUUGUAAACCGCUUUCGCCUGUGACGAAGCGUGAGUGACGGUAAUGGGUAAAGAAGCACCGGCUAACUACGUG